rnacentral:rRNA from 1 species
AUUGAACGCUGGCGGCAUGCCUUACACAUGCAAGUCGAACGGCAGCACGGGAGCAAUCCUGGUGGCGAGUGGCGAACGGGUGAGUAAUAUAUCGGAACGUGCCCAGUCGUGGGGGAUAACGCAGCGAAAGCUGUGCUAAUACCGCAUACGAUCUAAGGAUGAAAGCGGGGGAUCGCAAGACCUCGCGCGAUUGGAGCGGCCGAUAUCAGAUUAGCUAGUUGGUGGGGUAAAGGGCCACCAAGGCGACGAUCUGUAGCUGGUCUGAGAGUACGACCAGGCACACUGGAACUGAGACACGGUCCAGACUCCUACGGGAGGCAGCAGUGGGGAGUUUUGGACAAUGGGCGCAAGCCUGAUCCAGCAAUGCCGCGUGCAGGAUGAAGGCCUUCGGGUUGUAAACUGCUUUUGUACGGAACGAAACGGCCCUUUCUAAUACAGGGGGCUAAUGACGGUACCGUAAGAAUAAGCACCGGCUAACUACGUGCCAGCCGCCGCAGUAA